rnacentral:rRNA from 1 species
UACGUAGGGGGCAAGCGUUGUCCGGAAUCAUUGGGCGUAAAGAGCGUGUAGGCGGUCUGGUAGGUCCGUUGUGAAAACUCGAGGCUCAACCUCGAGACGCCGAUGGAAACCAUCAGACUAGAGUCCGGAAGAGGAGAGUGGAAUUCCUGGUGUAGCGGUGAAAUGCGCAGAUAUCAGGAAGAACACCCGUGGCUAAGGCGGCUCUCUAGUACGGUACUGACGCUGAGACGCGAAAGCGUGGGGAGCGAACAGG